GCCAGGUGUGGUGGUGCACGCCUGUAAUCCCAGGUACUCAGGAGGCUGAGACAGGAGGAUCGAAAGUUGGAGGCCAGCCUCAGCAAUUUAGCAAGGCCCUAAGCAAUGCAGUGAAACCCUGUCUCAA
rnacentral:sRNA from 1 species